UUUUAACAGUGGGUGUUAGGAAUCUACUACUGUCUGUUGGUAUGCUCAUCUCAAGACUACAGCUGUGCCUGAGACAAAGACAUUACAGAUGCUAGAAAGAUGCUCUUAAGAAGAAUAUUCAUUCAUCAGUCUGUGCUGCAUAAAUGGAGCCUGAAGACAGUGCCAUUCAUGUGUCCAGCCAGGUGCAGAAUCGUCCUCCAUUUUCAAAAAUCAAGUAAAAAGGAAGAACAGCAUCUUGAAAGUCUUCCAACUUCUACCCCUGGACCAGAGAGAUGGCUCCAGAGCCAUUCAAGCAAUAAGGCCCAACGUUGGAACUGCUUUCCCUCCAAAGCACAUGUUUUGCCUCUGUGGGACAUGAUAACUGCACAGGCAUUGCUGUGGCCAGAAGACAGAAGCAACCCAGACGUUUGGAGAUGAAUAGCAACAAACAACAUGUGGUAAACAAUGCAGAAUGGACUAUGAUUCAGACACACAAGGAAUGGAAUUCUGGAGCACAGUAUAAUACAGAUGACACUGUAUGAAGUAAGCCAGACAACAAAAGACCAAACUGUAUGAUUCUAGUUCCAUGAAGGAAAUAAAACGCAGAGAGAAUGUGCCACCAAGGCCACCAGCUUCUGAAAGGUAUGGGUGUGUGCAGUUAUUCCUUAGUAGAUACAGAGAAGUGAUGAGAAAAUGUGGAAAUAUAGACAUGUUCCUAAUAUCUUUGAUAUAUCCACUUAACAGUGACCAAGAUGGCAAGUUUCAUUAAAUAUAUUCUGCUACAAAAAAUCAUGGAAAAAUACCAUAAGAAAAUAAUAAAUCUAGGGGCUGGAGAGAUGGCUUAGAGGUUAAGGGCACUGACUGUUCUUCCAGAGGACCGGAGGACCUGAGUUCA